UUCCUAGUGUGGGUGCAAGAACAAAUCUAGUGGGAAUAAGAUCCUAGACCGAAUUCAUGUAGUAUUUGAGUACAAUAUGACUAUCUUAAUUUUUAAUCAUAUAAGUACAUAAAUUAAUAAGUCCUUCACUACACCAUUGCUACAACUUUUCUACCUUUAACACAAAAUUAAUCCCAGGUUCUUCGAAAAUUGAUCGAGGAACUCACGAGAUCUUUAAAUUUGCACCCUCAAAAGAAAUAACAUAGUUUCUUUGACGAUUCAGAAACAAUGGAAGAUCUUGAAAACCCUGUUUCAGGCCUCUCACCCAAAAAGGUAAGGCUUCCAUGGUGGUUAUUCCACUUGUCUGGGCUGCUCUUCUUCAUGUCCAUCUUCUCAAUAAUCAUCCUAUGUAGCAAAUUUAAGGAUAAAAAACCCGAAUUUGUUGUAAGCUCGAUGUUCGUCUCUUCCUUUAAAAAUUACUCUGAAAACGAAAGCAGUUGGAAUGUAAGUCUGUCCAUGAAAAACCCUAAUCUCAAUACAUAUAUCAGUUAUGAUCAGGCUCAAGUUUGGCUUUUCUACAAAGAAAAAUUUAUUUCUACUGCACACAUAAUGCCAUUCUAUCAACGUCCUGGGGAUCAGGAAAUAACAGUGCAUGCAAAUCAUGGAAUGGAAACUGAUGCAAUUGAAGAAGAUUUUAAUGAAGAUAGGGUUCUGAACUUUGAUCUCUUGCUGGAGGCCAGUUUUAGGGUUAAUCCUCAAUUUUUUUUGGAGGGGAAAAGAUUUUUGAUUGUUGAAUGCAAAGAUUUGAGGAUUAAAUUCCCAUUAAAUCAUACUAUGGGAACGCUGUUAAGUAGUGAAAAUAGAUGCAUGGUCCGAACGUAUGGCAGCAAAUCUGAUGCUUAUAAGUUAUAGAUGGCCUAUAUAUUUUAUUGGGAGCAAAGGUUAGUUUGUUUUUGUUCGUUUAAAUUUUAUUUUUUAUUUUUUUUCCGUAUAAUUACUUAUCGAUGAUAAUGUCUGACGGAGAAUUGAAUUUUCAAGAAUUUCUACUUUGUAAAGAAUUCAAUUCCCUAAGAGUUCAAAGUUUUGAAGUAAUUAGAAUUCCUUUGCCG
rnacentral:lncRNA from 1 species